AACGUAGCUAUGUCUUACUCUCCCAGGAGGUCGCCCUCCAAGUACCAUCAGCGCUAAAGAGCUUAACUUCUGUGUUCGGUAUGGGAACAGGUGUAUCCUCUUUGCUAUAAUAACUA
rnacentral:rRNA from 1 species